UGGCUUCUGUGACACCCCCUAUGCCUUCUCUGGACUUAGGUUUUGGGAGAAGAUGGUCAUCUACAUGCCAGGAGAGGGGCCUCGGAAGGAACCAACCCUGACGACACCUUGAUCUCAGACGUCCAUCCUCCAGAACUUUCAGUGCUGUGACUGUACGGAGCUGGGAGUCCAUCUGGACCCCCGCUUCUCCAUCCAGAUACUGAAGCCCCUCCAGCCUGUUGUGUUCCUUUCUCAUCUGGCUUUCCAGGGAUCCCAUGCGAGUCCCGCUCCUGGUCCUCUGCUCUGAACAUUUGUCUGUCGUAGCACGAGGCUCAAUGGCAUCCCUUAUCUGAUCUUCAGAUUUGAGACCUAAUUUUCUGGAAAGAUACCACUGAACACUGAUCUUGAACCAGGAGAAACAGACCUUAUACUGCUCUCCAAACCACCAUAUUGCCGCAAAACUACGUGGAGUACAACCUUGGGUUUCUGUUUCAUAACUAAAAAAAUUAAAAGCCUUGUUCUGAAUGGAAAUCCAUUCUAGUUGGAGGUUUUAAACUGAGGGUCCAUGAAAGCCCCCAGAAACAGAUGACACCACAAAGGAGACUGCUUUCACAAGAUUCAGAACAGGUAAAUGACAUCCCCAUGUGUUGGGUGUGCAUCCUGUCCAGAGUUUCACAGGUAGACCUUGUUUUACUGUACUCUCAAAUAAUGCAACUUUUUACAGAUUGAAGGUUAGUGACAACCUUUCAUUGAGCAAGGCUAUGGGUACCAUUUUUCUAACACAUUUGCUUACUUUGUGUCUCUGCAUCCUAUUUUGGUCAUUCUCACGAUAGUUCAAACUUUUUCAUUGCUAUUAUAUUUGUUAUGAUGAUAUGUGGUCAG